rnacentral:rRNA from 1 species
AUUGAACGCUGGCGGCAUGCCUUACACAUGCAAGUCGAACGGCAGCACGGGAGCAAUCCUGGUGGCGAGUGGCGAACGGGUGAGUAAUAUAUCGGAACGUGCCCAGUCGUGGGGAUAACGUAGCGAAAGCUACGCUAAUACCGCAUACGAUCUAUGGAUGAAAGCGGGGGAUCGCAAGACCUCGCGCGAUUGGAGCGGCCGAUAUCAGAUUAGGUAGUUGGUGAGGUAAAGGCUCACCAAGCCGACGAUCUGUAGCUGGUCUGAGAGGACGACCAGCCACACUGGGACUGAGACACGGCCCAGACUCCUACGGGAGGCAGCAGUGGGGGAAUUUUUGGGACAAUGGGCGCAAGCCUGAUCCAGCAAUGCCGCGUGCAGGAUGAAGGCCUCGGUUGUAACGUA